rnacentral:rRNA from 1 species
UACGAAGGGGGCUAGCGUUGCUCGGAAUCACUGGGCGUAAAGGGUGCGUAGGCGGGUCUUUAAGUCAGGGGUGAAAUCCUGGAGCUCAACUCCAGAAUUGCCUUCGAUACUGUAGAGCUUGAGACCGGAAGAGGUAAGUGGAACUGCGAGUGUAGAGGUGAAAUUCGUAGAUAUUCGCAAGAACACCAGUGGCGAAGGCGGCUUACUGGUCCGGUUCUGACGCUGAGGCGCGAAAGCGUGGGGAGCAAACAGG